GGAGGAAAAGAAACUAACAAGGAUUCCCCUAGUAACUGCGAGUGAAGCGGGAAAAGCUCAAAUUUAAAAUCUGGCAGUCUUUGGCUGUCCGAGUUGUAGUCUGGAGAAGCGCUUUCCGCGCUGGACCGUGUACAAGUCUCCUGGAACGGAGCGUCAUAGAGGGUGAGAAUCCCGUCUUUGACACGGACUACCAGUGCUUUGUGAUGCGCUCUCAAAGAGUCGAGUUGUUUGGGAAUGCAGCUCAAAAUGGGUGGUAAACUCCAUCUAAAGCUAAAUAUUGGCGAGAGACCGAUAGCGAACAAGUACCGUGAGGGAAAGAUGAAAAGCACUUUGGAAAGAGAGUUAAACAGUACGUGAAAUUGCUGAAAGGGAAACGCUUGAAGUCAGUCGCGUUUGCUAGGACUCAGCCUUGCCUCGGCUUGGUGCAUUUCCUAGUAGACGGGCCAGCAUCACUUUUGGUCGCGGGAAAAAGGUUGGAGGAAUGUGGCACCUUCGGGUGUGUUAUAGCCUCUAGCUGUAUACCGUGGCUGGGAGUGAGGAUCUCAGCACGCCUUUUGGCGGGGCUUCGGCCACCUUCGUGCUUAGGAUGCUGGCGUAAUGGCUUUAAACGACCCGUCUUGAAACACGGACCAAGGAGUCUAACAUGCCUGCGAGUGUUUGGGUGGAAAACCCGAGCGCGUAAUGAAAGUGAAAGUUGGGACCUCUGUCGUGGAGGGCACCGACGCCCGGACCAGACCUUCUGUGACGGAUCCGCGGUAGAGCAUGUAUGUUGGGACCCGAAAGAUGGUGAACUAUGCCUGAAUAGGGUGAAGCCAGAGGAAACUCUGGUGGAGGCUCGUAGCGAUUCUGACGUGCAAAUCGAUCGUCAAAUUUGGGUAUAGGGGCGAAAGACUAAUCGAACCAUCUAGUAGCUGG
rnacentral:rRNA from 1 species